GCCAGUGUGGUGUAGUGCUUUGACCAUUGGACUACAAUUCUGGAGACCCGGGUUCAAUUCCCAGCUUGGUCA